AAAUGGCUAAUGUUAAAUGAGACAUUGUUGAUUUAAACCGCGCCGCACGAACCUUUCAACUUCGGUCCAGUAUGUAACCUUAGCUCAGCGGCAGCUCAGAGAGAUGCGCUCAAAUUCAGUUAAUUCUCUGUUUAGAAAAGUCUACAAAUAAUCACAUUUCCCAAAAGCAAGACGUGAUGGGAGAAACGAAGCUUUUCAAAGUUUCGAAUCAAUUAAACGAAUCGCUUAAUUCGCAAAAUGAUUCACUGCUUCCAAUCGUUCGUGACACAACGGCGACGCCUGCUGGUCAAAACAAGGCAAGCGUCAGUUGUUUGGAAAGCGAGCACUAAUUGGAAUAACACUAAAUGUGUUUUUAUGGUUUAUUUAUAUUGAAUAUUGUUAUGCAUAUAUUAGAUUCGCCUCUAAUUACAGCCAUUUCUAUUAUAAAGCUAUGACAGAUUUGCAUGUUUUUUUAAAUGUGUACUAAAUGUGUUUAUACUUAUUUUUAGACAUUGGGUUCUUCAGUGAAGGAAAAAUUACAACAGUGGAAUCUCAUACAUUAAACAUCCACAUGCCAAUUAACUGAAAUAUUUCAAGAGGAAGGAGUCAAUGAAGGAAGUUUUAUGCGACCGGAUGACACCAGCAUUGCUGCACUAACUCCAAGAGAAGAAGUUUUUAGCAUUUUCAACGGUGAAACAGUGGAACAGAAGACCUUACUACAAGCAGUGGAUCUGUGUUUCAGACAUUUCUACAUUUAUGACAUCUACUACCCAAAGCUCCUCUGCACCCAUUUGCAGCACACAGUCUUUAAUAUUCCAGGAGUUCUUUCAACACAUUACCUCUUCCUUAGAAACUUUGUAUUUAUUGAUCCGUAAAAACUUUUUAUGUUGCUGAUUAUCAGCAAGUCCAGCAGCCAGCAGAUUUACUUUGUUUUAUUAUUAUUAUUAUUAUUAUUAUUAUUACUUGUGUUUAUGAUUUUUUAUUUUUGUUUUAUUGAUAAAAGUUUGUAUGUUAUGUUUGUUUUAUUUGUGCACAUUUGUGUAUGUGUUGAUAUAAAUAAAUAUGAAUUGAUACACAUUUAUGACCCUGGACAACAAAACCGGUCAUAAGUAUCAUGGGUACAUUUGUAGAAAUAGCCAAAAUUGCAUUGUAUGGGUCAAAAUUAUCAAAUUUUCUUUCAUGCCAAAAAUCAUUAGAAUAUUAAGUAAAGAUCAUGUUCCAUGGAGAUAUUUUGUAAAUCUCCUACCAUAAGUAUAUUGAAACUGAAUUUAUUAUUAGUAAUAUGUGUUGCUAAUAACUUCACUUGGACAACUUUAAAGGCAAUUUUCUCAAUAUUUAGAUUUUUUU